AUUGAACGCUGGCGGCAUGCCUUACACAUGCAAGUCGAACGGCAGCGCGGACUUCGGUCUGGCGGCGAGUGGCGAACGGGUGAGUAAUACAUCGGAACGUACCCUGUUGUGGGGGAUAACUAGUCGAAAGAUUAGCUAAUACCGCAUACGACCUGGGGGUGAAAGUGGGGGACCGCAAGGCCUCACGCAGCAGGAGCGGCCGAUGUCUGAUUAGCUAGUUGGUGGGGUAAAGGUCCACCAAGGCGACGAUCCGUAGCUGGCCGGAGAGGACGGUCACCCCAACUGGGACUGAGACACGGCCCAGACUCCUACGGGGGGCAGCAGGGGGGAAUUUUGGACAAUGGGGGCAACCCUGAUUCAGCAAUGCCGCGUGUGUGAAGAAGGCCUUCGGGUUGUAAAGCACUUUUGUCCGGAAAGAAAUCGCGCUGGUUAAUACCUGGCGUGGAUGACGGUACCGGAAGAAUAAGCACCGGCUAACUACGUGCCAGCCGCCGCGGUAA
rnacentral:rRNA from 1 species